GUGUUUUUAGUCUUUCUGCGACUGUCGGACUUUUAAUCCGCUGGUCGCUGGUUCGAUUCCAGCACGGCCCACCA
rnacentral:tRNA from 2 species